GAUGAACGCUAGCGGCAGGCCUAACACAUGCAAGUCGAGGGGCAGCACAGAAACAGCAAUGUUUUGGUGGCGACCGGCGGACGGGUGCGUAACGCGUAUGCAACCUACCUUGAACAGGGGGAUAACGGAGAGAAAUUUCCACUAAUACCACAUAACAUCGAUCAAGGCAGCUUGAUUGGUUGAAAACUCCGGUGGUUAAAGAUGGGCAUGCGUUGUAUUAGGUAGUUGGUGAGGUAAUGGCUCACCAAGCCUACGAGACAUAGGGGGACUGAGAGGUUAGCCCCCCACACUGGUACUGAGACACGGACCAGACUCCUACGGGAGGCAGCAGUGAGGAAUAUUGGUCAAUGGGGGCAACCCUGAACCAGCCAUGCCGCGUGCAGGAAGACGGCUCUAUGAGUUGUAAACUGCUUUUAAACAGGGAUAAAGCACAGUAUGUAUACUGUGUUGAAGGUACUGUAAGAAUAAGGAUCGGCUAACUCCGUGCCAGCCGCCGCCGUAA
rnacentral:rRNA from 1 species